CAAAUUCGGUUCUAGAGAGGUUC
rnacentral:ncRNA from 3 species